UACGGGGGGGGCAAGCGUUGUUCGGAAUUACUGGGCGUAAAGGGCUCGUAGGUGGCCAACUAAGUCGGACGUGAAAUCCCUCGGCUUAACCGGGGAACUGCGUCCGAUACUGGUUGGCUUGAGUUUGGGAGAGGGAUGCGGAAUUCCAGGUGUAGCGGUGAAAUGCGUAGAUAUCUGGAGGAACACCGGUGGCGAAGGCGGCAUCCUGGACCGGCAUUGACGCUGAGGAGCGAAAGCCAGGGGAGCAAACGGG
rnacentral:rRNA from 1 species